UACGUAGGGUGCAAGCGUUAAUCGGAAUUACUGGGCGUAAAGCGUGCGCAGGCGGUUUUGUAAGACAGAUGUGAAAUGCCCGGGCUUAACCUGGGAACUGCAUUUGUGACUGCAUGGCUAGAGUGUGUCAGAGGGGGGUAGAAUUCCACGUGUAGCAGUGAAAUGCGUAGAGAUGUGGAGGAAUACCGAUGGCGAAGGCAGCCCCCUGGGAUAACACUGACGCUCAUGCACGAAAGCGUGGGGAGCAAACAGG
rnacentral:rRNA from 1 species